rnacentral:rRNA from 1 species
UAGGGAAUCUUCGGCAAUGGGGGGAACCCUGACCGAGCAACGCCGCGUUAGUGAAGAAGGUUUUCGGAUCGUAAAGCUCUGUUUUAAGGAAGAACGAGUGUGAGAAUGGAAAGUUCAUACUGUGACGGUACUUAACCAGAAAGGGACGGCUAACUACGUGCCAGCAGCCGCGGUAAUACGUAGGUCCCGAGCGUUGUCCGGAUUUAUUGGGCGUAAAGCGAGCGCAGGCGGUUAGAUAAGUCUGAAGUUAAAGGCAGUGGCUCAACCAUUGUAGGCUUUGGAAACUGUUUAACUUGAGUGCAGAAGGGGAGAGUGGAAUUCCAUGUGUAGCGGUGAAAUGCGUAGAUAUAUGGAGGAACACCGGUGGCGAAAGCGGCUCUCUGGUCUGUAACUGACGCUGAGGCUCGAAAGCGUGGGGAGCGAACAGG